rnacentral:misc_RNA from 1 species
GAUGAAGAACGCAGCGAAAUGCGAUAAGUAAUGCGAAUUGCAGAAUUUCCGUGAGUCAUCGAAUCUUUGAACGCACAUUGCGCCCACUGGUAUUCCGUUGGGCAUGCCUGUUCGAGCGUCAUUUAAACCUUCAAGCUCUGCUUGGUGUUGGGCGUUUGUUCCGCCUCCGCGCGUGGACUCGCCUCAAAUCUAUUGGCAGCCGGUCAGUUGGCUUUCGCGCGCAGCACAUUGCGUAGCGGCUCCAGCUUGCCUCCUACCAUUAAGCUACUCUACAUCUUUUGACCUCGGAUCAGGUAGGGAUACCCGCUGAACUUAAGCAUAUCAAUAAGCGGAGGA